rnacentral:lncRNA from 1 species
AAAAAAAAAGAGAGAGAGAGCUGAGAGUUAAAACAUCAUAUAGCUAAGCUGUAGAGCAUAAACUUUUUGUUAUUAAAAAAAAAUCUUUUGGACAGACUUGUAAAAGGUGCUGAGUUUUAUAUCAUCUUGCAUUGACUGUCAGAGGCCAUGGGGUAAGGCUAUGAAAUGUCUGAGUUAGGGAGUAGGCUUGUGGCUGGACUUGUGCUCUUAAGGGCUUUGCUGAAGUUUCGUUUUGACAAUAUAAUGGUCGGUGGUUAGUACCCUAUGUGACAAGUUCCCCAAAUACUGCCUCUGCCAUAACUCUGUGUGUCCCUCUUGCUAUGCUUCAAUGAACAAAAGUAGUUAUUAGUUAGGAAUAGCCAUGUGGGAGUUGAGGCAUUGUCAGAUGUGAAUUUAGGAGAUUUACUUGUGGGGCAGUUGCUUACAAGAGACUUGUUGUCAUCUUUAAAAGAAACUAACCCAAAAUCUGGAAAAGCACYCCACCAAGCUCCUGCAUCCAGGAUGGACAGCACAAAAAUAAGGCAGAAGGUUUGAGGAUUUCUUCCCAAGCUUAUUCAAUAUGUGGAAGGGAAUAUUUUCUUUUGAGGAAACCCCGUUCAGGUGGGCUUUGCAAGUGAUGGCUCAUCACACAAGUGCCUUGGAAUUGCAUGCAAUGCCUGCUAACUAGAAUGGGAAGCAAGUUGCACAGAGCUUGGGGUGAGCCUGUCCCUACAGAGUGUGGUGGUGGGAGCAGGUUGUAGAGCUGAGAAAGAUUUGGAGGCCUCUCACCCCUGCUGCUGCCUAGGCCAUCUGCGGUGGCUGCUCUUGCCCUGCUGCCCUGGUCCCUGCUCUGUGCUGCACCAUGGAGGUGCCUGUGUCUACCAAGGCUUGUUGUUUGAGGUAGGUCAGCUUGAAGAUGAUGUGUUGGGGAAAGUGUUUGACCAAGAAGGUGCUCCUGAACUUUCAAGCUUGAACUUGAGAGCUAGGCUCCUAGUUUUGUCACCUCAGCCACCAGGGCAUGUAAACUUGGAGCAGGGGAUGUUGCUGCAAGCCUUCAGCCCACCAGGAAACAGCAGCAGCAUACUUCCAUUGCCUUCAGGGAGGUCAGCAAUUCUCCCUGGGCCUUUCACUCAACCACUGUCCUGCUUGGUACAACUGUGCCUGCUUCGAAGUGGGGUUCCUUUGUCCAGUGUCCAAAAAGGCAUGUGGGAUUUUAAGGUUCCUGGAAGCCAUGUGRAUCAUGAGUGUGCAGUCCUUGGCUGAGUAGGUAGUGUUUUGUAAAAUYUUAGUAAUGCUGGGGUAUGUUCUGCAGUUUUGCCCUUAAUUAAUAAGGUAAGGUAUUGAUGGCAAGAAUUUAACACUUUCAGCUGAUUAUGGCAAAACCACUGUGCCUUGACUCUCUUUUUAAACCCAAUGUAAUUUCUUGCAUACUCUUCCUGUUUCCAUGCCUGUAUUCUGUGAAUCAUUUUUUUAAAUUGUAAAAACCUGCCUCUUACGUAUGCUCUGUUUUGCUCUGUAACACUUGUCUGCCUUGGUGAAGUACUCUGGGGUAAAAGGAAAUGGCUGAGCAACCUGCUUUUCUGGAGUGCUUUUGUACCUGCCUCCUAUUCCAGAGCAGGUUUUCUCUGAUUCAUUACCAUAGGCUGCGAAGCAGCAUGCAGCCUCUGUCUGACAGAUUCUGUGAUUUGUUUCCCUUGGAGUUCCAACCUGGACAUUAGGUCUUAAAAGUUUUUCUGCCUGAAAGAGGGAAUGGAGAGGAUAGCUGGAGGAGAAUGUCUUUGGAGGGUGGUGUGGGAGGAAGGUGGACCAAGACUGAACGUGUUUGUUUCCAUUAAUAAUGCACUGUGAAGCAUCACAAUAUUAAAGGAAUUGAAAAGUUUUGUCUUCACUUGAACAACUGUAAUAAAUUGUAAUGUAGGUAGUUCUCUUCUGAGCA